GCAUCCGUAGCUCAGCUGGAUAGAGUACUCGGCUACGAACCGAGCGCUCGGAGGUUCGAAUCCUCCCGGAUGCACCA
rnacentral:tRNA from 3 species